GGUCGGGCGAAGAGGAGCAGGACGGUGACCCCGAACGGGACGGCGGACCUGUCGAAGGAGGAGGUGAGGUGGACGACGGCGUCGUGCGCGAGGAGGACGAGGGAUGGUGAUGGGGAGAGAUCUGGAGACGGAUGAGAAUCGUGGGGGAAGUGGACGAUGUGCGGGGAUGGUCGCGGUUGUUUCUUUUCUAUUUUCCAGAUUUUUUUAUCGCGAGAACGAAA
rnacentral:lncRNA from 1 species